GUGAGCUGAAAAUCGCGGGUGAAACUGGUGGGGCCGUCACGACCCAAUACCCCCAACCCCCUUCGAUGAGCUCCUUCUUGGUUUCUGUUUCGUAUUAUUUUUCCACCGUUGUGUUCACCAUUCUUUUUUCUGCAGGUUGACUGAAGGAAGAAUCCCAGCCGCGAAGGAGAGCCAGCGGAGCCUCAGCACCAGAAACCCCACCACUGGUCAGAUGACUCAGAUCCCUUGAUU
rnacentral:lncRNA from 1 species